CUCUACAGCCAUACCUCCCAGAAUGCACCUGUCAGAUCUUAGAAGUUAAGCAGGAUUGGGCCUGAGUUAGUACUUAGAUGGGAGAAUGUAAGUUCAAAUUUCCAAAAGGCGAAGAGCUAGCUUUUGAGC
rnacentral:rRNA from 1 species